rnacentral:lncRNA from 1 species
CAGAGUCAUCACAAGAAACUGCCUUUGAAUAAGUAGUAAGCUCACCAACUACAUUAAUUUCUUCUGCAACAGACAAAGCAUAUGCAACGAAAUUUGCAUAUCUUUGUAGUGAUCGAAUAUCCCUCCUUGGCCUAUCUUUAGCAAUGAAAUAUUAUUCUUCUUCUAAAUUAUUUCAUCAGUAGAUUCAGAUAUGUCUACUAGCACUUGUUGAAUAGAAGGACUAGAACUACCAAUCUCAAGCUCCACUUGCUUCUGCAUACUAUCAUCUGUUUGACAAGAACUAAAAGACUCUUUCUUAGAAGAUAACAUAGAAAAUUCAUCGAAAGUAACAUCUCUAUUGAUUAUAAAUUUUGAAAAUUUGGGAUCAUGACAUCAUAAUCUGUAUCCUUUCACCCCC